UACGUAGGGGGCAAGCGUUGUCCGGAUUUAUUGGGCGUAAAGAGCGUGUAGGCGGCUUGGAAGGUCAGCUGUGAAAACUCGAGGCUCAACCUCGAGACGUCGGUUGAAACCACCUGGCUAGAGUCCGGAAGAGGAGUGUGGAAUUCCCGGUGUAGCGGUGAAAUGCGCAGAUAUCGGGAAGAACACCCGUGGCGAAGGCGGCUCUCUGGGACGGUACUGACGCUGAGACGCGAAAGCGUGGGGAGCGAACAGG
rnacentral:rRNA from 1 species